UACGUAGGGAGCAAGCGUUGUCCGGAAUCAUUGGGCGUAAAGAGCGUGUAGGCGGUCCUGUAAGUCCGCUGUGAAAGUCAAGGGCUCAACCCUUGAAUGCCGGUGGAUACUGCAGGACUAGAGUCCGGAAGAGGCGAGUGGAAUUCCUGGUGUAGCGGUGAAAUGCGCAGAUAUCAGGAGGAACACCGAUGGCGAAGGCAGUUCUCUGGGCCGUAACUGACGCUGAGGAGCGAAAGCGUGGGGAGCGAACAGG
rnacentral:rRNA from 1 species